CCUACGGGUGGCAGCAGUGGGGAAUAUUGGACAAUGGGCGGAAGCCUGAUCCAGCAACGCCGCGUGAGGGAUGACGGCCUUCGGGUUGUAAACCUCUUUCAGUACCGACGAAGCUUUUUGUGACGGUAGGUACAGAAGAAGCACCGGCCAACUACGUGCCAGCAGCCGCGGUAAUACGUAGGGUGCGAGCGUUGUCCGGAAUUAUUGGGCGUAAAGGGCUCGUAGGCGGUUUGUCGCGUCGGGAGUGAAAACAUCUGGCUUAACUGGGUGCUUGCUUUCGAUACGGGCAGACUUGAGGCAUGCAGGGGAGAACGGAAUUCCUGGUGUAGCGGUGAAAUGCGCAGAUAUCAGGAGGAACACCGGUGGCGAAGGCGGUUCUCUGGGCAUGUCCUGACGCUGAGGAGCGAAAGUGUGGGGAGCGAACAGGAUUAGAUACCCCG
rnacentral:rRNA from 1 species